GAAAUACUGGAGGAGGAAGUCGCUGCUUGGUGGACUAACUAACGGAGUAAACACAUACAGGGUCUUGAUGAGGAAAUGCAUUCAACAGUUUGUGGAGCUUCAAAUUCCCCAUCCACAGUCAAAAAUAUUAAUGAGGUGCUGACCGACAGCAACCAGAGCUGUGAGCGACCAGAAUCAGACAAGUCCAGUGGUCAGUCCACCUAACAUG